UACAGAGGUCUCAAGCGUUGUUCGGAUUCAUUGGGCGUAAAGGGUGCGUAGGCGGCCAACUAAGUCGGACGUGAAAUCCCCAGGCUCAACCUGGGAACUGCGUCCGAUACUGGAUGGCUUGAAUUCGGGGAGAGGGAUGCAGAAUUCCAGGUGUAGCGGUGAAAUGCGUAGAUAUCUGGAGGAAUACCGGGUGGCGAAGGCGGCAUCCUGGACCGACAUUGACGCUGAGGAGCGAAAGCUAGGGGAGCAAACGGGG
rnacentral:rRNA from 1 species